UCAAGUUUCGACCCUUCGUGGCCUACUAGUGCGUCUUCCUGGUUAGUCUCCGAUCCACCAGGAAUCAGAUACUUGCUAAACUAUCUCCAAGAUAAAUAUAAUCCCGGAGAAAUAAUUAUAACUGAAAACGGAUGGUCUACAGUUCCGGGGAUCUUGAACGAUGAGGGCAGACUCAGUUACCUCAAAGGCUAUUUAAGCAAUAUUCUCGACGCUGUAGUAGAGGAUGGAAUCAAUGUUACUGGAUACACAUUAUGGAGUUUACUGGAUAACUUUGAGUGGAGUCAAGGAUAUACGCAAAGAUUUGGUAUCGUGGAUGUUGACUUUGAGAGCCCUAACAGAACAAGAACGUACAAGAGUUCUGCCGAAUGGUACAAAAGGCUCAUCGCAGCACGGCAGAUUGUUGAUUAAUUUGUACGUUUUAACUGAAUAUAUGAGGACGAAUGA